rnacentral:lncRNA from 1 species
GAAAAAGCUUCCGAAAAGAUAAAAAUGAAACCACAGGGGGGCAAAUUGAUACGUUUUAAACCACAGGGUAGUAAAGUGAGAAUGCAUGAAACCACAGGGGGGGUUUUUGAAGUUUUCCCAAAAAAAUUUAAGACAGUUUAUACUUCAACAACAUCUAUCCGUCGAAAGUUCGGAAUGUGCGGAUUUUUUCACUAGUUUAUAUUUAUAUAUAUAAAUAAAUAAUUAUAUAUAUAUAUAUAUAUAAUAUAUAAAUUUUUAUUAUAUUAAUUUUUAGUCCAACUUAAAUAGAAAGCCCAACUCAAUUAUAAAAGAUCCAUUUAUAUGUAAAAUUUUAAUAAUUAUAUCAAAAUCUAAUAAGCAAAAUUUUACUUAGAAUUAGGGUUUU